rnacentral:lncRNA from 1 species
CCUUCUGAACCUGAAUACCCUGAAUUUACUGUAAGGAUAUCUGUAUAGAAUCUAGUGUUCUUGGAAGUCCUAUUUAAAGUACUAGUAUUUUUAUUUUCCUAAGUUCAUAUGAAUCAGAUUUCUUGGGAGCAAUAACCUCUCUGGGAGCUUACCAGACAUGAUUAGCCCUUCACUUACUACCAUGUGAGCUGUUUUCUUCCUCGUUUUAAUUUGUUUUUUUUUCUGUUUCAUACUGAUAGCAUGUAUGUCCGCUAAUAUGUCGAACUUGAAAGAUUGGAUGUAUCUUGCUCUUCUUUUUUUCUUCCUCCUUCUGAUCAACAUGUGUGCCAUCUGUCUUUGCAGUGACUUGUCAUACAAUAUGCUCUCAGGAAGAUACCCUUCUUGGGUUAACAUGAAUAAUUUGCAUGUGUAGGUUUUUCUCUUCAAAUUCCCAUUUAGAAGGCAGACUAAUUAAUGCAUGCCUUUUGUAUUUUCAAUCGGG